GGCCGACCCAAUCUUAAAAAAUUGUUGAAUAAGAAAUAUUUCUCUUGGUUUUUUUUUAUUGUUGCAUAAAGAUUUUUAUGCUUUAUUGAAGUUAGUUAAUUUUGUCAUACCCUGAAAAAAUGUAUAUUAUUCGUGUCAGUAUAUAUAGUGUGCGAUUUAAAUUAAUUAAUUCAAACUGCCAGGCGCAGAUCAAGAGAUCAUACGAUAUGCAAAACUUUAGAGUUUUGUCAAAUGAUUUGCGAUUGGCAACGAGAUGUAAUCCGGCUAUUCAGAUUAAGUUACUGUUAUACUAUUAAGUUUAUCAUACACUGUUUCAAUUCAAAGUUAAAAUAUG
rnacentral:misc_RNA from 1 species